rnacentral:rRNA from 1 species
GACGAAGGGGGCUAGCGUUGUUCGGAAUUACUGGGCGUAAAGCGCGUGUAGGCGGUUGCCCAAGUCGGGUGUGAAAGCCUUGAGCUCAACUCAAGAAAUGCACUCGGUACUGGGUGACUAGAGGACCGGAGAGGAUAGUGGAAUUCCCAGUGUAGUGGUGAAAUGCGUAGAGAUCCGGAGGAAUACCAGAGGCGAAGGCGGCACCCUGGGUCCUGACCUGACACUGAUCCGCGGAACAGCAUGGGGAGCGAACGGG